GGCGAACGCUGGCGGCAGGCCUAACACAUGCAAGUCGAACGAACUCUUCGGAGUUAGUGGCGGACGGGUGAGUAACACGUGGGAACGUGCCUUUUGGUUCGGAAUAACUCAGGGAAACUUGUGCUAAUACCGAAUGUGCCCUUCGGGGGAAAGAUUUAUCGCCAUUAGGGCGGCCCGCGUCUGAUUAGCUAGUUGGUGAGGUAACGGCUCACCAAGGCGACGAUCAGUAGCUGGUCUGAGAGGAUGACCAGCCACACUGGGACUGAGACACGGCCCAGACUCCUACGGGAGGCAGCAGUGGGGAAUCUUGCGCAAUGGGCGAAAGCCUGACGCAGCCAUGCCGCGUGAAUGAUGAAGGUCUUAGGAUUGUAAAAUUCUUUCACCGGGGACGAUAAUGACGGUACCCGGAGAAGAAGCCCCGGCUAACUUCGUG
rnacentral:rRNA from 1 species